UUGUUGUGUGAAAAGAGUGAAGGUUAGUACUCCCCUUGACAAGGAUGGAAGAGGUCCCAGUGGCCUUUACGUUUACAACAAAAAUACAGUUAAGGCACUGCCACCUACUUCGUGGCAUCUCUAGCCAUGUUU
rnacentral:ncRNA from 1 species